UUAACUUCAGAUCAAACUGGGCCGUACGUUGCUCCUGGACUGAAAUUCAGUGUGCGUGUGUGCGUGUGUGUGUGUGUCCCCCUCAGGUGAAGCUAUGCUGGGACGAUCUGACGGCUGCUCACUGCGUCCAAUCAGCAGCCACUCAAAGCGCCUCCAGUCCCAUCCAGCUGGAUUUCCCUCAGGCUCAGGGAGCUCAGAUGGAUGCGUGUUUUCCUCCAGGAAGCCUUCCUACACGUCCAGAAUCUGAUAGUCCUGAUCCACAGCUGGACCCACUGCUUGAACCACCGCUUGAACCAGAGCUAAGACCACAGCUGGAACAACAGCUUGAAACACAGCUGGGACCACAGCUGGGACCACAACUAGGACAACAGCUGGGACCACAGCUGGAACAACAGCUGGGACCACAACGAGGACAACAGCUGGGACCACAACUAGGACAAGAGCUUGGACCACAGCUGGGCAUCGUUCUCUCCCAACAGGCCAAGAUGUUACUCCAGCAGAUGCAGACCUUUGGCGAUCUACUGAAGAGUAGAAAACUGAGUCUUGAAAAGCAAACAGAGGGUUUGUGUCACCUCAGUGAAACUUUGGACUCGUUGGUAAAAAGUUUCCUCCUGACGAAGAAGGAGUUACGCCGCCUGAAGAAGCAGCACAGAGCAGACCUGGGUUGUCUUGACCCCACACGGAUGUUGAAGGCACAGAUCUACUACUCUGUGUAUCUCAUGAGGAAGCUGAAGAAGUAUCAGGAGCAGCUCUGUGAGACUCCGCCCCCCUCCUUCCCUGUUCAGCCCGUGUGCUCGUCCACUCCACGAACCCCCCCACAGUUUCCAGCUGAUCCUGUUGAGAUGAAGGAACUGAGGUCAACCAGAGAAGGAAGUGACGACGACUACAAACACACACUCACCUCUCACUUCCUCCCACCUCUGAGCGAUGCUCACACACACAUGGAUCAUGUCCGAUUGUUCCGCUGUGAUUCCAUUGAGUCCAUCUCUGCUGAGGAAAGCUCCAGGAAUCCUCCGUCUGUUUUUCACCCGCCCACAAACGCCAGAACGGCUCAGCAGGAGAAAAGUGGGAGGAGCCGCAGCCUCUACUGCUCGUCACCGCAGCGUGUCACAUGCAGCAGCAUCAGCAGCAUCAGCAGCAGUAAGAACAGUCAUUUCCCCUUUAACGACCCUCAUUUAUCACCCGUUCCUACGCUACAUCUGGGCCGUAGCACCACACUUUGGGCCCUGGGUACUAACCCUCUUCUUGGGCCCCUACUGUAAGUUAUGUGCACUUGUGUCUGAUUCCAGGGAUGAGAUCCAAUGUUCAGCCUCCUGCUCUGAUGUCCAGAUCCACUCAGACCUCAGCAGCAGUGGAGAGGAGCAGCCGGACGCCACAGCACCGUGAGAACCUUCUUUAUUCAACCAGUUCAGAGUUCUCAGUGAGAGAAACGUCUCUGAUUUAUAUCAACUAAACAGCUUCCUCACAUUCACAUCAGGGAAAGGAAACCAGGAGAGACACUGGUUAUGAUGAACAUGGCAAAAAUCAUCAUGAAAUCUGGUGAAAAGAGGUUAAAAGUGACAAUAAUGGGUCAACAUAUAAACAUUAGGUGUAAAAGUGGUAGAAAGGGUUUAUAAGUGCUGAACAUGUCUGGAAAGUGGAAAAAAUGUGUAGAAAAGACAUUAAAAUGUGAUGUAGAAGUGUCAGAAAUGGGAGUAAUGUAGCAAAUAUAAAUUAAAAGGAGCAAAAAUAUGGAAAGAAAAAGUGAUGAAAAUAGGUUAAAAUAUGGUGAGUUUGGUGAAGUUACAGAAAAAUGAUAAAAAUAAGCAAAAAUGGGCUGAAAUUGUUCAAAAGAUAUUCACACACACACACUUUCUUCUGACUGAGCACUCACUGAAUGGAACUCCUAACCUGCUUUAUGAUUGGCAGACUGUUGCAGAGACUCCACCCCUCAUCGGGUCAGACCAGUGAAGAGCCAACACAACCGUGCUCUUUUUCUACGCCAGUUUCUGCCAGGGUGUCCACCUCAAAAACUGUAAGUACACACACACACACACAAUAUACAAAAUAACUCCACAAACACACAAAACAACAAAAAGACUCAAAAUAAUAUGAAAAACACAGAAAUGGAUUGGAAAAAUACACAAAGGAACAAAAAAUGUAACAAAACAAUAAAUAAUUAAUCCAGAAAUACA
ensembl:lncRNA